rnacentral:rRNA from 1 species
GGGGGGGGGGGGGGGGGGGGCGGGGGGGGGGGGGGGGGGGGAGGGGUGCGGGGCGAGUGGCGGGCGGGUGCGUAGGGCGUGGGCACCGGAGCUGAGGGUCGGGAUGACUCCCCGAAAGGGGUGCUAGUACCGGAUAAUGUCUUCGGCCCAGAGAUGUAUCGCCUUUGGAUGGGCCCGCGUUGGAUUAGCUAUUGGGUAGGGUAAAAGCCUACCAAGGCGACCAUCCAUAGCUGGUCUGAGAGGAUGAUCAGCCACACUGGGACUGAGCCACGGCGCAGACGCCGACGCGAGGCAGCAGUGGGGAAUAUUGGACAAUGGGCGAAAGCCUGAUCCAGCAAUGCCGCGUGAGUGAGGAAGGCCUUAGGGUUGUAAAGCUCUUUUACCCGGGAUGAUAAGGACAGUACCGGGAGAAUAAGCUCCGGCUAACUCCGUG